AUACGGAGGGUGCGAGCGUUACUCGGAGUCACUGGGCGUAAAGCGUCCGUAGGCGGUCGGGUAAGUCGGGUGUGAAAGCCCCGGGCUCAACCUGGGAAGUGCACCCGAUACUGCUCGACUCGAGUGCGGGAAAGGAUGGCGGAAUUCCCGGUGUAGCGGUGAAAUGCGUAGAGAUCGGGAGGAACACCAGUGGCGAAGGCGGCCAUCUGGCCCGCAACUGACGCUGCGGGACGAAAGCGUGGGGAGCAAACAGGAUUAGAAACCCUAGUAGUCC
rnacentral:rRNA from 1 species